GCUGGGCAUGGUGGCACGUGGCUGUAAUCCAAGUUCUUGGGAGGCUGAGGCAGGAGGAUUGCAAGUUUGAGGCCAGUCUCAGUUAUUCAGCAAGACUUGUCUCAA
rnacentral:sRNA from 1 species